rnacentral:rRNA from 1 species
UACGUAGGGACCAAGCGUUGUCCGGAAUUAUUGGGCGUAAAGAGCUCGUAGGCGGUUUGUCGCGUCUGCCGUGAAAGUCCGGGGCUCAACUCCGGAUCUGCGGUGGGUACGGGCAGACUAGAGUGAUGUAGGGGAGACUGGAAUUCCUGGUGUAGCGGUGAAAUGCGUAGAUAUCUGGAGGAACACCGGUGGCGAAGGCGGCACCCUGGGCCGGCAUUGACGCUGAGGCGCGAAAGCUAGGGGAGCAAACGGG